CCUACGGGUGACAGCAGUGAGGAAUAUUGGUCAAUGGACGAGAGUCUGAACCAGCCAAGUAGCGUGAAGUAUGACUGCCCUAUGGGUUGUAAACUUCUUUUAUAUGGGAAUAAAACGUUCCACGUGUGGGAUUUUGUAUGUACUAUAUGAAUAAGGAUCGGCUAACUCCGUGCCAGCAGCCGCGGUAAUACGGAGGAUCCGAGCGUUAUCCGGAUUUAUUGGGUUUAAAGGGAGCGUAGGUGGAUUGUUAAGUCAGUUGUGAAAGUUUGCGGCUCAACCGUAAAAUUGCAGUUGAAACUGGCAGUCUUGAGUACAGUAGAGGUAGGCGGAAUUCGUGGUGUAGCGGUGAAAUGCUUAGAUAUCACGAAGAACUCCGAUUGCGAAGGCAGUUCACUAGACUGCAACUGACACUGAGGCUCGAAAGUGUGGGUAUCAAACAGGAUUAGAUACCCUGGUAGUC
rnacentral:rRNA from 1 species